GAUGAAGAACGUAGCGAAAUGCGAUACGUAAUGUGAAUUGCAGAUUUCAGUGAAUCAUCGAAUCUUUGAACGCACAUUGCGCCCGCUAGUAUUCUGGCGGGCAUGCCUGUUCGAGCGUCAUUUCAACCAUCAAGCCCUAGGCUUGCGUUGGAGCCCUGCGGCUGCCGCAGGCUCCCAAAUCCAGUGGCGGGCUCGUCGUCGUACCGAGUGCAGUAAACAUCCUCGCUCAGGGAACGUGACGGGUUCUUGCCGUGAAACCCCCCUCAUAUCAAGGUUGACCUCGGAUCAGGUAGGAAUACCCGCUGAACUUAAGCAUAUCAAUAAGCGGAGGA
rnacentral:misc_RNA from 1 species